UACGUAGGGUGCGAGCGUUGUCCGGAAUUACUGGGCGUAAAGAGCUCGUAGGGGGUUUGUCGCGUUGUUCGUGAAAUCUCACGGCUUAACUGUGAGCGUGCGGGCGAUACGGGCAGACUAGAGUACUGCAGGGGAGACUGGAAUUCCUGGUGUAGCGGUGGAAUGCGCAGAUAUCAGGAGGAACACCAGUGGCGAAGGCGGCUAACUGGUCCGAUACUGACGCUGAGGUGCGAAAGCGUGGGGAGCAAACAGG
rnacentral:rRNA from 1 species